UAGGACUAAAGUCACUCAAACUCCACCUAAACAUAAAACAAUAGUAUAAAAAUUAUGCCGUCUGUAUUGGGUUUGAGUGACCAGGAUGUGGUAGCAGGAGAGGGACUACAGGAGUGGCUUCUGUGAGAAGCUACCAGAAGCUUUCCCUAUGGCCAACAGAGCCAACGCCAGCCAGCUCCAGGAUGAACCUGCCACUGGCCAAGGCUGAGCCAAUCAGAGAUGGUGUUUCUCAUACCAUUUGGAACCCUGUGUAGAACUGCAGUACUUUCACAGUCACAGAAUCACAGAAUGAGUAAGGUUGGAAGGGAGGCCUAUCUGCACUGAGUAUGGAAGUCAGCAGAGGAUUAACUUGGG